rnacentral:rRNA from 1 species
GUGUCAGCCGCCGCGGUAAUACAGAGGUCCCGAGCGUUGUUCGGAUUCACUGGGCGUAAAGGGUGCGUAGGUGGUGAGGUAAGUCGGAUGUGAAAUCUCCGGGCUCAACCCGGAAAUGGCAUUGGAAACUACCUUGCUGGAGGAUUUGAGGGGGGAUUGGAAUACUUGGUGUAGCAGUGAAAUGCGUAGAUAUCAAGUGGAACACCAGUGGCGAAGGCGAAUCCCUGGAAAAUACCUGACACUGAGGCACGAAAGCUAGGGGAGCAAACAGGAUUAGAAACCCCCGUAGUCC